GACGAACGCUGGCGGCGUGCCUAAUACAUACAAGUAGAACGCACAGUUUAUACCGUAGCUUGCUACACCAUAAACUGUGAGUUGCGAACGGGUGAGUAACGCGUAGGUAACCUGCCUGGUAGCGGGGGAUAACUAUUGGAAACGAUAGCUAAUACCGCAUAAUAUUAAUUAUUGCAUGAUAAUUGAUUGAAAGAUGCAAUUGCAUCACUACCAGAUGGACCUGCGUUGUAUUAGCUAGUAGGUGAGGUAACGGCUCACCUAGGCGACGAUACAUAGCCGACCUGAGAGGGUGAUCGGCCACACUGGGACUGAGACACGGCCCAGACUCCUACGGGAGGCAGCAGUAGGGAAUCUUCGGCAAUGGACGAAAGUCUGACCGAGCAACGCCGCGUGAGUGAAGAAGGUUUUCGGAUCGUAAAGCUCUGUUGUAAGAGAAGAACGGGUGUGAGAGUGGAAAGUUCACACUGUGACGGUAUCUUACCAGAAAGGGACGGCUAACUACGUG
rnacentral:rRNA from 1 species